GAUGAACGCUGACAGAAUGCUUAACACAUGCAAGUCGAUGGGGAAGUGGUGCUUGCACCAUGGCAACCAUGGCGGACGGGUGAGUAACGCGUAAGGGACUUACCUGCAGGACUGGGAUAACAGGGGGAAACUCCUGACAAGACCGGAUAAUGUCAUGGAGCUGCAUGGCUUUAUGAUGAAAGGAGACGCCUGCGGAGAGCCUUGCGUCCUAUUAGCUAGUUGGUGAGGUAAUGGCUCACCAAGGCGAAGAUAGGUAGCCGGCCUGAGAGGGUGGACGGCCACAAGGGGACUGAGAUACGGCCCUUACUCCUACGGGAGGCAGCAGUGGGGAAUAUUGGACAAUGGGGGCAACCCUGAUCCAGCAAUUCUGUGUGGAAGAAGAAGGUUUUCGGAUUGUAAAGUGCUUUCAGCAGGGAAGAAGUAAGUGACGGUACCUGCAGAAGAAGCGACGGCUAAAUACGUG
rnacentral:rRNA from 1 species